rnacentral:lncRNA from 1 species
CAAAUACUCUUGGUUCUUUAUCCUUCCUCCGCCCCGCUUUAGUCUCUAUAAGGAACUGGCAUGGGAGAUGGGUUUUGAAGAGUACCAUUUGUAUCUGAGGCCUGUUCACUUUGAAUUUGCAUCACAUAAGGACAACGUGGACCAUCCACCUCCUGUUUUUAUCACCUCUCUGCUGGAGGACAGUGAUCGAGUGGACAGAUAUUCUCCUACUACUCUUGUGUUAGCCAUCUCUGAGGUGGAUGAUAACCAGGUUGGCAAGUUUAGCUUUUAUACAAAGGAAGCCAUCCUUAAGGUAAAUUAGAUUUUUUAAAGAAACUAAAGUUAAACCAUUUGCUCAUGUAUUUC